AGAAGUCAGUUGUGGUUAGGUCAGAAUACUGUUCACUAUGUGAACUGUGUUCUUGGCUAGAAAUAGCUGUACAAAAUAAGUAUUGUACCUUACUGAACCAUCAUGUGGUACCAGAUCGCAGAUCGGGUACUGGAUUUAGUUGCCUUUAGUAGAUUUAGUAGAGUUCAGUAGCCUCUUUGUGGCUUUGUGCGUUUAGAAUUUUAAUGUCUUCAGUUAAGCAGUGGAGAUAGUUUUGGAACUGGUAAGUGGACCACUAACCUCUCAGCAGACCCCUAUGGGAAAUGGAAUGGGGCUUAGCCAGCUGGUGCGGAGGGACCGCUAUUUCCCGAUAGAGAAAGCGCUUAGGGGUCUCUCCCAUCCCGUAGGCCUACUGCUACAACUGCUUCUCUGUCUACUCUUUUCGGGAAAGACGAACACAGCCUGCAGUACAGCCGUGCAAGAGGCAUGUUUUUCUCCAAAGUUGUGCAGGCAUGUGGUGCUUUGCGUGGACUAUCCUCCUAUAGAUGAAGCUAACCCAGUGACUGAGGUGGAGUGGAAGAAUUGUGGAAAGUCGAGUCUUAUUGUGAAACAUACACAAAACAAGUCUGAGAUUUUUGGGCAAUAUAAACAAAGGACUCGAUAUUAUCAUGAAAAUAACACAUUGAUUUUGGAAAACAGUUCAGAAGAGGAUGAAGGUAUUUAUGAAGUAACCCUGCUUUUCCAGAAUAGUUCAGUGUGGACCAAGACAUUACAUCUGUCUUUAAUAAUGCCUCCACCUCAUCCCAUUAUCAAAGUGGACAUGAACGACUCCCACGUGACACUGGAGUUGAGGUGUGAAGUGGAGAAUGGAACCAAUCUGUCCUAUCACUGGCUGAAAAGUGGCCAGCUCCUCCCUCAAGAUGAGAGGCAUUUCCUGGUAGAGAGGAACUCCACCCUGCAGGUCAACAACCUGACCAGGGCUGACUGCGUGAACUACACCUGUGUGGCAGCCAAUAGCCUGGGCAGCAGCGAGGGACACAUUCAGCUCAAUGGAAGUGUUAACGAGAUGUGCUCAGUGAGAGCUGCCCCUGCCCUGAAAUUGAACAGCAUUCUGUUCAUCGCCACUGCGGCCUGCUGUGCCUUUGGCAUGUGUGUCAUGAUCCUCUGUUUCAGACGACGUCAGGGCAGAAAUACGGCAGUGGCUAAAAGGCCACAACAGCCACGAGCAGCCAGCCAACCGCAGGCGAGGUCAGCGAAAAAUAACAAACGAGGCUGAAGCAACAGAGUUUCGCGUGUAUGAAAAUGUGAAAUUGUGAAUAACAGGUAACCUGCUAUAUAUCACCUGCAGCCCAGGAGGUAGUGCAGCUGAUGUGUGUCUACACAGACUUCAUACCAACCUGCCCCGAUGCAGGAUCUAGACAGAGGCCAGUGGAGAUUGAAGAUUUUGGCUAUUUCACAAUCACCUCAGUGGAGCCGUAGUCACCCCAUUGGACUGUGGCCAUGUUUGAGCUGCUUGGAGCUGCCUCCAGUAGGAGAAAUGAGAGCAAUCUGAUGUUUUGACAUUAAGGAAAUAAAUAAGAUACCUGUGAGGUGUUUGCUUGAUAUACACCAAGAACAGUCACUCUGAAAAUUCACGCUGAAUUUAUGAAAAAUACCAGGUGUGAAACAGAAAUAUUUUAAUAACAAAGAAUUAGCCAUUUAAUAUAGAUCAGUUUCUCAAUUUGAGUCUUUGUGUUGGUAUAUUGUAUGUUGCUGAUUGUGUUUUUUCUGGCUGCAAAUUAUAACAAUAAAUGCAUGACGGCU